AUUGAACGCUGGCGGCAGGCCUAACACAUGCAAGUCGAGCGAGAAAGGUCUUCGGACUGAGUACAGCGGCGGACGGGUGAGUAAUGCGCAGGAAUCUACCUGGUAGUGGGGGAUAACUCGGGGAAACUCGAACUAAUACCGCAUACGCCCUACGGGGAAAGCGGGGGACCGUUCGGGCCUCGCGCUAUCAGAUGAGCCUGCGUAGGAUUAGCUUGUUGGUGAGGUAAAGGCUCACCAAGGCGACGAUCCUUAGCUGGUCUGAGAGGAUGAUCAGCCACACUGGAACUGAGACACGGUCCAGACUCCUACGGGAGGCAGCAGUGGGGAAUAUUGCGCAAUGGGCGAAAGCCUGACGCAGCCAUGCCGCGUGUGUGAAGAAGGCCCUUGGGUUGUAAAGCACUUUCAAUUGGGAAGAAAGGUUGCGUGUUAUAGCACGUAGCUGUGACGUUACCUUUAGAAGAAGCACCGGCUAACUCCGUGCCAGCAGCCGACGG
rnacentral:rRNA from 1 species